ACAAAGGCAAGCAAAAGACUUCCA
rnacentral:snRNA from 1 species